rnacentral:tRNA from 1 species
UACCUGAAAGCGAAUUCGCGCUAAGUUUCGGCCUUAGUUUUGAGAAAUAAUCUCUUAGGUAU